rnacentral:rRNA from 1 species
UACGGGGGGGGCAAGCGUUGUUCGGAAUUACUGGGCGUAAAGGGCUCGUAGGUGGCCAACUAAGUCAGACGUGAAAUCCCUCGGCUUAACCGGGGAACUGCGUCUGAUACUGGAUGGCUUAGAUUGGGGAGAGGGAUGCGGAAUUCCAGGUGUAGCGGUGAAAUGCGUAGAUAUCUGGAGGAACACCGGGUGGCGAAGGCGGCAUUCUGGACCGAUAUUGACGCUGAGGAGCGAAAGCCAGGGGAGCAAAACGGGG